rnacentral:rRNA from 1 species
AAUAGAUACCCGGGUAGUCCACGCCGUAAACGAUGAGUGCUAAGUGUUAGGGGGUUUCCGCCCCUUAGUGCUGCAGCUAACGCAUUAAGCACUCCGCCUGGGGAGUACGGUCGCAAGACUGAAACUCAAAGGAAUUGACGGGGGCCCGCACAAGCGGUGGAGCAUGUGGUUUAAUUCGAAGCAACGCGAAGAACCUUACCAGGUCUUGACAUCCCACUGACCGCUAUGGAGACAUAGUUUUCCCUUCAGGGACAGUGGUGACAGGUGGUGCAUGGUUGUCGUCCGCUCGUGUCGUGAGAUGUUGGGUUAAGUCCCGCAACGAGCGCAACCCUUGAUCUUAGUUGCCAUCAUUUAGUUGGGCACUCUAAGGUGACUGCCGGUGACAAACCGGAGGAAGGUGGGGAUGACGUCAAAUCAUCAUGCCCCUUAUGACCUGGGCUACACACGUGCUACAAUGGACGGUACAAACGGUUGCCAACCCGCGAGGGGGAGCUAAUCCGGAUAAAACCGUUCUCAGUUCGGAUUGUAGGCUGCAACUCGCCUAC